UAGCCUGGAAGAGUGACAAGGACAUGGACACGAGUUAGUGCCACGUGCACCGUGAGAGGAGGGAAGCACAGCUUGGGGCCUGGGAUCCCACAGGACAGCACAGCACAGCGUUCAUGGAAGGACAAGAGUGUUCAGCAUCAAAGCCUUGCCAGCACGUGCACAGUUUUCAGUGGGUGUUUGUGUCAUCAUGGCUGGCACUCCAUUCACUUGUGGGCAAAGCUGUGCACUUGCAAGUGAAGUGCAAGAAUCAGAGCACAGCUCUCUUGGGACUCAGUCGUUAUCUGAACAGGACAUCAAAACAAUGAGUGGGCAGUGAUCCUACUAAGUGUGCACUAGAAGGGAUGCAAUCCUCUUGGUUUGGGUUUUUCCUUUUAAUAGCACUUGGAAAAAAGUAUUCCAUGUGUCUUCCAGCUGCUCUUAAGACACAGAAGAAAUCUGGAUCCUACAUUUAUGGCUCUCCACAGAGUGCAGGUCUGAGGAAGCAUGGCUGGGGCAGGUCAGGCUCACAGGACACAAGGAAAGAGCUGUGAACCUCAGCCCACCAAAGCCCACCAGGCCAAGCUGGUUGCUGCUUGCCAGGCUGCCAGAAAGCCACAGCAGUAGGGAAGAAUUUCCCUGUCCUUCUUUCAUAAUGCCAAACUUCCACAGCUAUUGCAAACCUCCAGAGCUGCACAUCCCUGUGGAAAGGAGCAGGUUUGCCAUUCUACCAGAGCUACAGCAUUUAUUGCCUACCCCAAUGGACACGAAAAUUUCCUAUUAUGACCCAUUACAGCCUGCUUUUGCAACUGGCCACUCAAGGCCCACAUGCACACGUUCAUUUUACUGUUUACUGCAGUCCAGCUCCUCCUUACAUUAUUCUGUAUUCUAGUUUCCUUCAUCCCAGCUGAUUUGGGUUGGGUCUUUAGAAAAGCAUCCGUGUGAACUUGAGCACAAUGUUCUGAGCCUUGGUCUGAGCCCCCAGGACCCCAGAGCCCACCCACCACAACUGGAAUAAGCAGCAGCAGCAGCAGCAGCAGCAGCUGAGGGAGCACAUGGAACAAGAUGCAGUUUAGCAAAUGCCUGUGCCUGACACAGAAAAUUGAGCCCUUACACAGAGUGGGGUCUCCACUGGAGGGCUGAUCCUCGUGCUUGAAGCACCAGACCUGGCUCUGUUCUCUGCCCCAUAGAGGGGUCUGUGGGGCCAUUGGGAAAUGACUUUUUCUGGGCCUUGGUGGAAAAUGAGGUCAGAUUCUGCUGUCUGCAGAAAUCUAGCACGUAGUGAAUGUCCAGAGGUUCUGGAGGAUGACCUCGGCUUGUUUAUCUGUGUCGGGCCAAGUGGAGUGACCAGUAUUUUGAUAAGUUUUGUGAGUGUUUAUGUUAUGCUAAUUUCUAUUGGACGAGCCUGUAUACAGGGUGGAUACAGAACCACAGAUGGAUAAAACCCAAGAUAAGCAUACACCCCAGAAAUCAUUAUUAGAUUCCAGAUAGAGUAAACUAUCCAAAGUCCUGAACAGAAAAUAAAAAUUUAUUGACUGUUAAUGUGAUUCAUGGAACAGCUGUUUGCCAGUCACACUGGGCAUUCCUGCGAGAUGAGAUCUCAUUUAAUAUUAAUGGUGCUAUAAAAGCCUGAAAAAAAUUAAUGCAUAGCCUUGAUGAAUCUUGCAAACCUGAAUGGUUCUAUUUUACACACUAAAAGAUGAGAUAUAUAUUUCAUGCAUGUUUAUGUUUCAGCCUUUUAAGUAUUUGCAUGCCUCAAUAACCACUCUAAAAACAAAAAUACUAAACAGAAACAUUUCAUGAUAGUUUAGGCCCAGACAGAAAAAUCAACUGUUGUUGAAGUUGGUGUCUUGCCACAGUAUUAUUCUUUACUGCUACAAUUUCUUUUGGAAAGUUUAUUUAGUCUGUUCUUUAAAUAUUGCAGGCUGUCAAUCUAAGCUUGAAAUUUGAUGUUAACAUGAAAAACCCCUAUGUUUUAGUAAUAUCAAACUUAUGAGUGGCACUAAAGAAUUCAAAGCUGAAGUUGAAACUUCAUCUUAAAUGUUUCCCUUGUGUUGGUUACUGAUGCAUGCACUUCCCAGAAUGGAACGGCAGACAAAUGCGUGCACACUUGCUCUGAACAGAGUCUCCUUUAAUACAAAACAAACAGGAAAGUCAACUCUAAUUUUGUGGUCUGACUCAGGCACCAAUUCAAAAAGCACUUAAACAUAUGUUUUCAGUAUCACUCUUAACCGAGGUGCCCUCCUGAGUGCAGACAUGAAGAGAACUUUCUUGGAGAUACGUAAGUAAAGAUUGCAGCAAAUGGUUGUGUUUGAUUUCAGCAAUUCUGUCAAUUAUUAAUUUUAAAGAUAGAAAAAAAAAUAAUAAAAUACUGAAGUAUUGUAGUAACGCAGCCAUUAUAACUUUGACCUGAUUAUAAAAGCCUGCCUGAGCACACCUGCAAUGUGCAAUGAACAGACCACACAAAUAAUGUAGGCAGUGCCUUGUCAGCUCUCCUGAAGGUGGGUGUUGCCUAUGGCAUCCAGCAGAAUGGAAGAGACUUUCUCUAUCAGUCAAAUACAGCAGGAUUAAAAAAAAUUCUGAUUUCCUUCUGGAGUUUUUAUAGAUGAAAACUAAUUUCAGGACUGUUAUUUAUACAAACAUGUUUUUGUCAUAACAUUGAAAAUAAAAUGUGUUCUUUGCCCCUCCUGCUACAAAUAUCAUACGGAUAACUCCUUAUAGGUGGAAUAAAUUACCUGUUGAAGCUAAAGGUGCAUUGAGUAUGUGAUAGCCAUUCUGCCUCAGAGGAUUGAAGCAAUGGGAUUCCCCUGUGAGCACAUCACUGCUGACAGACUGGUCCAUUGUUCUGUAGCAAUCUCCGUAGUGGAAACAGUUUUGUAUGGAGUGAAAGCUGCCUUGGUAACCUGAAAGCAGAUAUUGCACACAGUUCAAUCCUGCAAUGUCACAGCAUUUCAUUACUGCUGGGGGGUUUAGUUCCUCAGUUUUAACUUUGGAAAAAAUGAUUGUCCAGACUUGGUCCCACAAGGUGCUGUGGACUGUGAUCCCCAUCAAGCAAAAAUCUCAAGGAUGGGCUUCAUUUCAAGCAAUAGAUCAGCUGAACAACAGCACCCUUUGAUCCAAGGUAAGUAGUGAGCCCUCCACUGGAUCAAGUCCAGGAUGCUCAGCUCCUAAGGGAAUGUCUCUAUAAUGAAUCACUGUUAAUUUAAAUACAAUAAUGCGAUAUUUAAAUAAAUACCACUGCUUUGUUUUCUGUUAAGUAAAGUCUUUUGCCAUCCAAUGUGUGCUGUGCACUGGAGACAGCACUGUUUAUCCGAAACACCUUCACAGGUUCCUCAAACUUCCUUCCCAGACUUCUCUUGAUUCAAAUGAACCCCCUCUCACUGGACACAGGGGACCACAGUGUGCAGGUAAUGACCUAGAAGUGCAGGACUGACUCCAGACAGUUGUCAGGUGAAGGCUGAGUUCAACCAGAGGCUCUUCUGCUUCUGGAAAGUGCUGAGAUAGAUCUGUAUGGUCUCUGCUUGCCUCAGUUAUUCUGCUUUUGGGGCAUGUUUGACUUUGGUCUUCCAUGUACCCAACAUUUCUUAGAUCCUGGUUUUUGGUUUUUUUCCCAAGUAUGGUAUUAUCAGUACCCAGCAGUUUGGGUUUUGCCAUCAGAAGUUGUGAAUGAGUUGUAGACAACAAAAGAAGACAUUUAACAGUAAAGGACAAAUGAAUUUCUGAGGAAGGAAUUUUGCAAUUUAGAAGUUUUUCCAAUAUCCUCAAACAUUGUCAUUUGUUCCCCUAAGGAUGAUCUCAAAGUAUGUUACAAUAUUUAAACCAACCAUGGCCUGAUUUAAUUCUCUUCCCUCCUCCUGCCUCAAUAAGCUCUUCCUUAUUCUGGGUGCAAUGCACACUAACUGCACAUUCCUAUCACCUACCCCUUUUCCUACCUUCUCUGAAAUGAUUCUCCUUCCCUUAAGAGCAACUGAAGUCAACCAAAUUAGGCUUAGAGUCUAGCAGAAUGUGCUUCAGGAUUUUCCUCUAAUUGCCAGAAAAAAUAUGGAGUUGUUGUCUUUCUUCCCUCAGUCUUAGAGGGACUGAAACAUUUCGGGGCAGUUCAGCGAAUCCCAGUCACAGCCACAUUUCCAGCUGACAGCUCGGCCCCACUCACAGCAGAGACCCGCCCUGCUGGGCUGCCUGUGCAGCUCUUCAGUCUGUUUGUUCAGGAAUUAAAUCCCUGUGCCUGUCCCCAGAGCACCUGGGGCUAUAUGGGGUGAAUUGUAAGGUUGAACACCCGCACAAUUCCUGCAGUGUGCAAGCUCUUUCCUGUUCAGUAAGAUCCCCCACACUUCCCUGUGUUUUCCCUCUGCUACCAAAGUCUGACCAAGCAGACAAUACCAGGCAAAGCUCGGGGUCUGGUCACUUCAUAUUUUCUAAGUUAGUAAUAAAUGAGGCCAAGUGAGGCAAUUCUUGAGUAGAAAUGCAAUCAGCUCAUUGAGUGGUGAAAGAUUUGCUCUGAAGCUUCCCAGUUUAGUAUGUGCUUUGGCAGAAUCUGCAAGGAUUAGGUGCUUAAUUUCUUGAGAACUUAUGAUCCACUACAAAAUACCUAAAUUGUUGAUGUCCACGAUUAGUGAAGUCCUAAUGGAUGACUCUUAGAUAAAGACACUACACACUCUGUACCAAGGCUGCUCCUUUUUGCUGCUACAGCAAAGGCAGCCCAAAAAUUUGGAAAGCUGAGCAUUAAAUGAUGCAUGCCCUUCCUUGGAAUAAACAGCCAGCCACCUCUAUUUACUGCCUGGAUAGUCUGGCUCAAAGCACCAAGGAGCUCUUAUGAGAGGUAGCACAGCCCUCUUUUGAUGUGGUUUUAGGUACAGUGUGUUAUUGACUGGCUUUGAUACUUAUCCUUUCUGUUUACAAACUCCUUGCUGUAGGCCUUCUAAAAAUACAUCCUUUUGAGAUGAACAGUGAAAAAAAGAGACACUUGGCUUCAAAGGAGGCUCAGCUGGUUGCAGAGAACACUUAGAUGCAUUGCUAGAGGAAAAAAAAUGAACCUUUUCUAGAAUGUCUGCUACAGACAUCAUGUCUAGGGAAGGCAUGACAUGUAUUUUCUCUGUCCCUCCCUUGUGCUCCCAGGCUUGCCUUUGUUACAUCAAUUAAAAAUCUUCAUGAUCUACAGAGCUGGCACAGUGGCUUAGAAAAGCAGAGAGCAGCCAAGCAUGACAGAACUGGAUUGAAACUAGUUGGAUCCAGGGUUUUCCCAAGACCUGUGGGGAAAGGUUUUUGAAGUGUUUUAAGUUACACUGUCUGGAAAUACCUGAAGCAGAGAACUGCCUCAGAAUCAGUCUGGAAAAGAACUGCCACGAGCAAUGAAAUCCUCUUUUGGAUUGCAGUGUUCAUCCCUCAGCAGCACUGUGAGAUAAUCGGAGAAGGCAGAGGAAAAGUGUUCCUGGAACCACCCAGUGGAGAGGGGGCUGUAGGAAAAUCCCGGUGCUACUGCACUGCUGAGUGCACCAGGACCUGACUUCUGCCAGUGCUUCACAGAGAAAACACAGAGAGAUGCACCUUCCCUGUUCUGAGCUGCCUGCAAGGUGGGAUAAAUGCAGGUAUGAAACUAAAGAAAAUACAUGGAAUGAGGAAGGGAAAGGGUGCAGCAGGAACACAAGUCAGGUAGAACAAAGCAUCACACUAAAAAUGGGAUUUCUGACCCUUUGGGUUCAUUGCAUUUAGAUGUGGUUCCUUUACAUUUCUUUAAAUGCUUCACUGAGAAAAUAUGGGGAAUUAAAAUAUGAUUAAAAUCCCAUAACCAAGCAUUGGGUUAACAACCACAUAUGGUUGAUUAAACUAAACAGGGAGCAUUUUUACAAGUUCUUAAAAAGGACUCCCUUCAGGGGUUAAAAUAUAAAGUAAGCAAGAAGGCUGGUCCAGUGCAGACAUCCCUGCUCCUUCUGGAGUGCAAAUCUGGAGUACCAACUUGGCAAUAAGUGUUUCACCAAUAUUUUUUUUGCCACAUGGAUUUCAGGUUUUCCUUCAGUUUUGAUUUAAAUCAAGAAUUUUCUGAGGUUAUUUUCAAGCGAAGAAUUUACUAAAUGCCCUGUCAGUUUAAAUGAUCACGGUUAAAUGUUUUAUGUACAGUAGAUGUAGAAAUAUAACAGUUCAUAAAGGAAUAAACUGAGUUCCAAACAUAA